GACGAACGCUGGCGGCGUGCUUAACACAUGCAAGUCGAACGGUGAAGCGCUUGCCUUUUUGGUGGGUGUGGAUGAGUGGCGAACGGGUGAGUAACACGUGAGUAACCUGCCCUCUUCUUCUGGAUAACCUCAUGAAAGUGGGGCUAAUACGGGGUAUUCCGGGUCUGUCGCAUGGCGGGUUUGGGAAAGAUUGCGCCUUUGGGUGUUUUCGGUGGGGGAUGGGCUCGCGGCCUAUCAGCUUGUUGGUGGGGUGAUGGCCUACCAAGGCGGUGACGGGUAGCCGGCCUGAGAGGGUGGACGGCCACACUGGGACUGAGACACGGCCCAGACUCCUGCGGGAGGCAGCAGUGGGGAAUAUUGCACAAUGGGCGCAAGCCUGAUGCAGCGACGCCGCGUGAGGGAUGGAGGCCGUCGGGUUGUGAACCUCUUUCGCCAGUGAAGCAGGCCUGCUCCUGUGUGGGUGGGUUGACGGUAGCUGGAUAAGAAGCGCCGGCUAACUACGUG
rnacentral:rRNA from 1 species